ACCUUGCUUAUAUUCCCCAGUUUUGCAUCUCAUCCAAUCUUUGCUCCACAAACGAACCAAUCCGGAUGAUAUGUGUGGGUAUUUGGACCUCUCACUGCCAAAGUCAUGAAUAGUACCAAAAAUUAAAACGAUCGAUCUAAUUCAUCAACUUUAAUCAACAAACACUACACGUAAAUGUAGAACUACAAAUAUUUUAAACAUGUAAAAGUAACUCAUGGAUAACAAAAAUACAAAAUUAAUCUACAAAAGCAGAAAGUGGUGAAACGGUUCUAUCAAUUUCAAAUCAUGAUCAAUCCCAACAAAGACCAACAUAAUCAGCCAAUAAUGCAUAUGAACCUUUGCCUCCUUGAAUCCAUGGGACCUUAUAAUGUGGGAACCCAACUGAUUUUUUAGCAAAAGAAGUGUCAUUUCUUUGAUUUUGGAGUAAUAGUUGUUUUUUCCUGUCAAUUAGUUGUCUGUUUUUUUUUAAUUAGCUUAUGAAAAAAUGGCUUUAAGGAUAAUGCAAAUGAGGCAUCUUUCAAGGGCCAUAUGGAAUGUGUCUCACACCAUUUCAAACUUUUUUUAAUUACUAUGAUCUUCUACAUCUCUCCUCUCGCUUCAUGAAUUUCAUUUACAAACUUCUCAUUAACUAAGGCCUUUAGCAUCAUGCCCUUUUUUUAGUAAUCAGAUAUUACAAUUUUACACUUGCUUAAAUGAUGAGUUUUAUUAUAGUACUGAUAGUUAUCUAAACCUACCACAUGACGACUCACACUUUUGCCUAAAAUCUGAUAAGACUGCCUUAAUAUGUAAACCUGAGUGGAAGAUUUCUAUAAAGUGAACUCCCACAUUUAUCUUUUGUAGAUGAAGGAAUGAAUGGAAGAAGAUAACCAACUUCUGCACUACCUGUAUGAUUUGUUCAUGUGAUUGAUCAUGGGUAGUUUAGCUAGAUCACAAAACUCAAUCCAUCGGAGUGACACCGGAUUACAGUUUAGGCCUCCUCUUACACCGUCUGUCACAAGCCAGAUGCUUGCAUUUGAACCUUUGCCUCAUUGACUCCAUGGGACCUUACAUUGUGGGAACCCAAUUGAGUUUUGGCAUCUUUCAUUAACUGGAAAAUAAAAAAAACAAAAAACAAAAAGAAAAACACUGUAAUUAUCCUAUAAUCGUAUCUUAUUCUCACUGCUAUUUCAAAUUAAAGGAAAGAAAAAGUUGAAAACCACCUGAGUCAACGAAAUAUCCUGUAAUCAUACAACAUGGAAAUGAAUUUAAAUAAUUAAAUUAAAUUCAACAUUUUGGCUUGAUGAUAUUGGUCGAAUAUUUCCAGUCUUUCUUUCCCCGGGGAAACAGAAUCGACUACAUGGAAUUCUAUUUUAUUUAUUUCCUUUCAUCUUCUAGGCAACCAAAACAGAAAACUUAAAAUAAAAUAAAAAAAGCUAGAAAAGUUGAUGAAACAAACUACAAUAAGCUAUAAACAUUAAAAAUUAAAUGACCAAUUUAAAACAAGAAUAUUACAUGCGACUAAACUUUGAAAUUUCGAGCAGUCUCCAAGCGAGUAAACUUUGACAUGCAUAUAGAAAAGGGAAUUAAAAUUCAAAAUCUAAAAUGGAUCCCAAAACUGAAAGUUUUUAUUUUAGAAAAGAACUUACACUGGAGGACAGCCCACUGAGAGACGAUCAUCUUUACCUCUAGGGUUGAGGUCCAAUUCUGUCAGGCUUGGCCGAAAACUGGCCAAAAAAUAUGCGGUCACCGUUUCUUAGAUCUAAAAUUGAGGAAAUUCGGCUAUGAAUUUGUAGAAAUUAACUUGGGGGUUGGAAACAGGACAGAAAAAGGAUUAUGGGGGUAUAAUUUGACGGUCAUUGGUGAUUGGGGGACGG
rnacentral:lncRNA from 1 species